rnacentral:rRNA from 1 species
UACGUAGGGGGCAAGCGUUGUUCGGAUUUAUUGGGCGUAAAGAGCGUGUAGGCGGCCAGGUAGGUCUGCUGUGAAAACUCGAGGCUUAACCUCGAGCUGUCGGCGGAAACCAUCUGGCUAGAGUCCGGAAGAGGAGAAUGGAAUUCCCGGUGUAGCGGUGAAAUGCGCAGAUAUCGGGAAGAACACCCGUGGCGAAGGCGGUUCUCUGGGACGGUACUGACGCUGAGACGCGAAAGCGUGGGGAGCGAACAGG